GGUAGUGACAAUAAAUACCUUACAGAGGUCUCGUUAACCGAGAUCUCUCAAACGGAAUGAGUACAACGUGAAUCCUUUAACGAGGAUCGACUGGAGGGCAAGCCUGGUGCCAGCAGCCGCGGUAAUUCCAGCUCCAGUAGCGUAUAUUAAAGCUGUUGCGGUUAAAAAGCUCGUAGUUGGAUAUCAGUGCGUGUCCGGUCCGGUAUGCCUGGCGGCGUCGCUCGCGCGGCACUGCUGGGCUCCCAAAUAUCGGCUGGCCGCAUUCAAUCGUGCCGGAUCCGUCGACGGGCCGUUCUUCGGAGGGGCCUGUUGGCGACCGGCGACGUUACCUUGAACAAAUUAGAGUGCUCAAAGCAGGCUCUGAAUGCCUGUAUACAUAUUCAUGGAAUUGGAGAAUACGUCCCUGGCUCGAUUUGGUUGGUUUUGAGAGUCGAAGGGAAAUGAUUAAUAGGGACUGACGGAGGCAUUCGUAUUGCGACGCGAGGGGUGAAAUCCUGUGACCGUCGCACGACGAACUACUGCGAAAGCAUUUGCCGAGAAUGUUUUCAUUAGUCAAGAACGAAAGUUAGAGGUUCGAAGGCGAUCAGAUACCGCCCUAGUUCUAACCGUAAACGAUGUCGACCAGCAAUCCGCAACGGUCACUACACGGACUGUGCGGGCAGCUUCCCCGGGGAAACCAGAGUUUUUGGACUCCGGGGGAAGUAUGGUUGCAAAGCUGAAACUUAAAGGAAUUGACGGAAGGGCACCACCAGGAGUGGAGCUUGCGGCUUAAUUUGACUCAACACGGGACAACUCACCAGGCCCGGACACCGUAAGGAUUGACAGACUGAUAGCUCUCUCUUGAUUCAGUGGGUGGUGGUGCAUGGCCGUUCUUAGUUGGUGGAGUGAUUUGUCUGGUUUAUUCCGAUAACGAACGAGACUCUGGCCUAUUAAACUUGACACUGUCAGUCUCUUGUGACUGC
rnacentral:rRNA from 1 species